CAGCCCCUGCGAGCACCGUAGUGCCAACAGAAAGUGCAACCACGUCAGCCAUUGCACAAACAGCUGCAGAGCCAUGGACAGCACCGGCUAUAUUCUAUCCAUUUCGCUCAGCAGCAGGAGACACAGAACAUUUUCUUACAGGCGAUGAAAGCUAUGAAUCUGUUGCCUUAUCCACUCCAUAUACAUUCUUUGGCCGCACAUACAACAGCUUAUAUGUUCAUUAUAACGGACUCCUUACGUUCAACCAACCUGAACCAGCAUCUGGACCUAACUAUA